UUCCCGGUGGCUUAGAGGUAAAGAAUCUGCCUUCAAUGUAGGAGACGCAGGUUAGAUCCCUGGGUGGGGAA
rnacentral:tRNA from 1 species